UGCACCGACACAAACGGAAGCGAAGAGGAAGCGGGCCGUUUGUUCUGGAAACACAGCACAAGCUUCACGCCUGCGAAUCCUGGGAACAGCUUAGGCAAUGUUGGAGGCCAUGAGGAGCUGCCAGGAGAGCCAUUCGACUGCUUUACGAAGUAUAUUCCCGAGAGUUGCUUCGAGGAUAUGGCGUUCUUCACAAACAAGAGGACAAUCAAGAUAACAGGAAGAAGCUGUGGGACCACAGCCACUGAACUAAGGAAGAUGUUCGGUGUGAGCAUGGCCAUAUCAUGUCUUGUGGUACCCAAGGACAAGGACGGCAUAGGCAGCGAAGACUAGAGUUCCGAUGGUUGUGUCCGCAAUGACAAGGGACCGAUACCACUCCCUACGAAAUGCCGUGAAACUCGUGGACGACGACGACGUACUUACUGACGAAAAACGAGAAGAUGCGUUUUGGAAGGUUCGGCCGUUGUUGAACGCUGUCCAGCAGGAAUGCCUUCGCACACCUCGCGGAGCAUACGUUUCAAUAGACGAGCAAAUGGUGCCGUUCCAUGGGAAGGUGAAAAUGCGCCAAUAUGUCAGGGGGAAGCCGAACCCCGUUGGGCUCAAAAACUUUGUUUUGGCCACACCCGAUGGCAUUCCCCUAGAUUUCACGAUGUACGCGGGAAAGGGUUGUACUAUCAAAGGCGCCGUCGUUUGUGAAGACUUGGAUAUUGAAGGAAAAGUUGUACUAAAGC